UACGUAGGUGGCAAGCGUUGUCCGGAUUUACUGGGCGUAAAGGGCGUGCAGGCGGUCUGCUAAGUCUAGGGUGAAAGCUCCCGGCUCAACUGGGAGAGGUCCUUGGAUACUGGCGGACUUGAGGGAGGUAGAGGAGAGUGGAAUUCCCGGUGUAGUGGUGAUAUGCGUAGAUAUCGGGAGGAACACCUGUGGCGAAGGCGGCCCCCUGGUUGGAUACUGACGCUGAUACGCGAAAGCGUGGGGAGCAAACAGG
rnacentral:rRNA from 1 species